UGGUGGAGUGAUUUGUCUGGUUAAUUCCGUUAACGAACGAGACCUUAGCCUGCUAAAUAGUUGUGAGAAAUUUCGGUUUCUUGGCAGCUUCUUAGAGGGACUUCGUGUGUUUAACACGAGGAAGUUUGAGGCAAUAACA
rnacentral:rRNA from 1 species